AUAAUAAUAAUAAUAAUAAUCAGACCAUGGCCAGGUCUAUUUUAAAUGUUUGAAUGAUGACUAUAUGGAUGUUUGAGUGAUGACUUUAUGGACUUGCAAAGGUCGUAUGUAAGACGAGGUUCUUUUUUCAUAUAUUUUGAGCUCAUGAAUUCAAAUUUAAUGAUGUUACUAAAUAUCAACCCUGCUGGAGAAACUCGAUGAGAGCUGCUGGAUUCUUCUUCUGAUCUAACCCAUAUGAAAUUCUGCUUGAAAGAUGAAUUUUGUGGGCCUCCAUGAGAUAACCUGAUAACUGACACCACUAAUGCCUGUGCCACUUGGUUGGUGAGUACAAUAAUAUCCGUCUGUCUACUUAUAUUGUGACAGUUGUAAACGUAAUGACACCAAAACAAAAAGAAUUACUUGAUCAAAUGAGGAGAGUUAAAGUUGAUGUUCCUGGAAUAGUGAAUCCAGAUGGUUAGUACGUGCUUUGGUAUUUCACUUGCAGAAACCAAAUGUGACAGAUUAGACAAAUUGGCAUCAAGGAUUACAAGUUUUGGUGGAAAAUAUUGUUCAAGGGAAUGCAGCUUGCACACUUUCUUAGGCAAAUUGAAAUUGGUUCUAAAUAUAUGUAAAGUGAACUGUCAUUCCUUAUUAUGUAAUCUGUCUGGCAGGACCACACUGGUCAGGAGUUGGCGUUGAGGUCAUGAUUAGCUAUUCUUGUUUAUGUGAAUUGACUUGCUUGUACAUGAUUUUGUCACCUUACAGCUUCUGUUAUAGUCUGAG
rnacentral:misc_RNA from 1 species